rnacentral:lncRNA from 1 species
AUGUUAUGUAAAGAAGCCACCAAGAAGAGCAAAGAAAAGGAGCCAGGGAUAGCAGCUCUUCCUCAGGGACACUUGACUUUCAGGGAUGUGGCUAUAUAAUUCUCAGUGGAGGAGUGGAAAUGCCUGUACCCUGUGCAGAGGCCUUUAUACAGGGACGUGAUGUUGGAGAACUACAGGAACCUAGAGUCUGUGGAUAGCUCUUUAAAAUCCAUGAUGGAGUUCUCAUCAACAGGGCAAGGCAAUGGGGAAGUGUUCCACAUAGGGAUUUUGGAAAGACAUGAAAAUCAUCACACUGGAGAUUUUUGCUUCCCAGAAACCGAGAAAGAUAUUCAUGACUUUGAGUUUCAGUGGCAAGAAAUGGAAAGAAAUGGCCAUGAAGCACCCAUGACAGAAACCAAAGAGUUAACUGGUAGUACAGACUGACAUGAUCAACGGCAUGCUGGAAACAAGCCUAUUAAAGGUCAGCUUGGAUUAAGCUUUCAUUUGCAUCUGCCUGAACUGCACAUAUUUCAGACUGAACAGAAAAUUGGUAAUCAAGUGGACCAGUCUAUCAAUGAUGCUUCCUCAGCUUCAACAUCCCAAAUAAUUUCUUGUAGGCUCAAAACCCAUCUUUCUAAUAAGUAUGGGAAGAAUUUCCUCCAUUCUUCAUUAUUCCCACAAAUACAGGAAGUACACAAGAGAGAAAAACCUUUCCAAUGUAAUGAGUAUGGCAAAGCCUUUAAUUAUAGCUCACACUUAAGGAGACAUCACAUAACCCAUUCAGGAGAGAAAUAAUGUAAAUGUGAUGUAUGUGGCAAAGUCUUUCAUGAGAAGUAAUACCUUGCAUGCCACCAUAGAGUUCAUACUGGAGAGAAACCUUACAAGUGUAAUGAGUGUAGCAAGACCUUCAAUCAGAAGUCAUCCCUUCAAUGCUGUCAUAGACUUCAUACUGGACAGAAACCUUACAAAUGAGAAGAAUGUGACAAAGUUUACAGUUGCAGAUCACAACUUGAAACACAUAGGAGAAUUCAUACUGGAGAAAAACCAUACAAAUGUAAGGUUUGUCACAAGGCUUUCUGGGAUAAUUCAUGCCUUUCACACCUGAAGAGUUCAUACUGGAGGGAAACCUUAUGAGUGUAAGGUUUGUGACAAGGUUUUCUGGCAUGAUUCAUGCCUUGCACAACAUCAGAGAGUUCAUACUGGGGAGAAACCUUACAAGUGUAAUAAGUGUGGCAAGACCUUUGCUCAAAAUUCAGGUCUUGUAAUGCAUAAGGCAUUUCAUAAUGGAAAGAAACCUUACACAUGUAAUGAAUGUGGCAAGGUUUUUAGUCAAAAAGCAAAUCUUGUAUGUCAUUAUAGAUGUCAUACUGGAGAGAAACCAUAGAAGUGUAAUGAGUGUGGCAAGACCUUCACUUGAAAUUCAGCCCUUGUAAUUCAUAAAGCAAUUCAUACUGGAGACAAAUCUUACAAGUAUAAUGACUGUGGCAAGGUUUCUUUUUUUUUUCUUUUUCUUUUUUUUUUUUUUGAGACAGAGUCUCACUCUGUUGCCCAGGCUGGAGUGCAGUGACGCGAUCUUGGCUCACUGCAACCUCCACCUCCCAGGUUCAUGCCAUUUUCCUGCCUCAGCCUCCUGAGUAGCUGGGACUACAGGUGCCCACCAACACGCCUGGCUAAUUUUUUGUAUUUUUGGUAGAGACGGGGUUUCACCAUGUUGUCCAGGAUGGUCUCGAUCUCCUGACCUCGUGAUCCGCCUGCCUCGGCCUCCCAAGGUGCUGGGAUUACAGGCGUGAGCCACCACACCCAGCCGAAUGUGGCAAGGUGUCUAAUCAACAAUCAAACCUUGCACAACAUCAGAGAGUUCAUACUGGAGGGAAACCUUACAAGUGUAAUGAGUAUGGCAAAGCCUUUAGUGGGCAGUCAACACUUAUUCAUCAUCAAGCAAUCCAUGGUAUAGGGAAACUUUACAAAUGUAAUGAUUCUUACAAAGUCUUCAGUAACGCUACAACCUUUGCAAAACAUUAGAGAAUCCAUAAUGAAGAGAGAUCUUACAAGUGUAGUAAAUGUGGCAAAUUUUUCAGAUAUCGAUCAUACCUUGCAGUUGAUUGGCGAACUCAUACUGGAGAGAAACCUUACAAAUGUGAUGAUUGCGGCAAGGUCUUCAGUCAAGCUUCAUCUUAUGCAAAACAUAGGAGAAUUCAUACAGGAGAGAAACCUCAAGUGUGAUGAUUGUGGCAGUCUUGACUUCACUUUCACACAGGAUUAAACAUCAGAGAAUCUAUACUGGACAGAAUCUUAAAAAUGUCGUAAGUGUGGCAAGGUCUUCAGUCCGAGGUCAAUCCUUGCAGAACAUCAGAAAAUUCAU